rnacentral:lncRNA from 1 species
GACACUGACUACCUGUAGUUAGCACAGACCUCACAUUUAAGGCUCAGCCCCACAAGAUUGCCCCCUCCUUCAGACACCCAUGACAAGUUCCAGGUUGUCACCAGUUCUUCUGGUUGACUGGCUAUAAAUCAGGGUUCCCAUAACCCCUAUCUCGGGUUCAAUAGUUUACUAGAAUGACUCACAGAACUCAAGAAAGUGCUUUACUUACUAUUGCCGGUUUAUUAUACAACUCAGAAGCAGCCACAAGAAAGAGGUGCAUAGGACAAGAUAUGGGGAAGGGGCACCAAGCUUCCGUGCCCUCUCCAGCACCUUGACCUGUUCACCAACCCAGAAGCUCUUUGAACCCCAUGGUUAGGGGUUUUUAUGGAGGCUCCAUCCCAUAAGCAUGGUUGAUUAAAUCAUCCACAGUUGCUGAUCAGCUCAAUCUCCAGGCCCUCGCCCCUCUCCAGAGCUCGUUGAAUCGGGAGCCUUAAGAACCCCCGCCCCCAGUUGCUCUUUCUCUUCCCUCUGGCAUGGUGGCUAGAUCCCUAGGCAAUGAAGUGGAAGGAGGCCUCCUGCUGACCCACGGUGAACCUACUGUGGGAAAGAACCAGAAAGAACAGCUGCCGCUUAGAGCAGGUGGCGUCUCAAGCCUGUGUGUUACUGCAGCAAAACCGACGGCCGCCUGUGUCCUGAACACCUGAGGGAUACAGCGUCCUCGGGGUGCACUGGCUGCCUUCACGUCCUUGAGCUUGGGGAAGUCCUGCCCAAACUUGGUUCUCCUGGAGUCUGUUUCAUCUUUGAGGCAACCACUACGUUUCCAUCAACUCCCUCUUCUGCUUCAGUUAAACACAGGUAGGUUUUGCUCUUUGCAACUGACAGCCUGGGCUGAUGGAAGAAGCUCUUUCAGCUGUCAUCAAGCAACACCUCAGGAUGGCGAGUCUGCAGGCAGCUGGAGGCCUCCAGGGCGCUGGUGUCUGAAGCAAAGGGCCGGGCAGUCCCCAGCGUGCCUGGGUUUGGAUCCUGGCUGCUCCAGUCGCCUGACAUGGGUCCUUGCACACAUUAACCUCUCAACACCAGUGGCCACAUCUGAAAUAUUGCGAGAACAAUACUCAGGAUUGCUGGGGAGCUGUAGGAGUGGAAUUAUGCAACGCAUGGCGUGUUGCCCGUAACAGAUUUCUGGGCCACGGUGGUGGUGCCAACACAGGCCGGCCAGGGCGUGCACGGGGUCUGGCUUUGUCUUCUUGUCUCCCUCUGCUCCUCCCUCCUCCGGCCGAGGGAGCCCGGCCUGUCCUUCUGGCCACAGUUCGGGAGGCCGUCGUCCUCAAAGCUGGGCACCAGCUAUGGUUCUCAGU